CUCAAAUUUGAAAUCUGGUACCUUCGGUGCCCGAGUUGUAAUUUGGAGAGGGCAACUUUGGGGCCGUUCCUUGUCUAUGUUCCUUGGAACAGGACGUCAUAGAGGGUGAGAAUCCCGUGUGGCGAGGAGUGCGGUUCUUUGUAAAGUGCCUUCGAAGAGUCGAGUUGUUUGGGAAUGCAGCUCUAAGUGGGUGGUAAAUUCCAUCUAAAGCUAAAUAUUGGCGAGAGACCGAUAGCGAACAAGUACAGUGAUGGAAAGAUGAAAAGAACUUUGAAAAGAGAGUGAAAAAGUACGUGAAAUUGUUGAAAGGGAAGGGCAUUUGAUCAGACAUGGUGUUUUGUGCCCUCUGCUCCUUGUGGGUAGGGGAAUCUCGCAUUUCACUGGGCCAGCAUCAGUUUUGGUGGCAGGAUAAAUCCAUAGGAAUGUAGCUUGCCUCGGUAAGUAUUAUAGCCUGUGGGAAUACUGCCAGCUGGGACUGAGGACUGCGACGUAAGUCAAGGAUGCUGGCAUAAUGGUUAUAUGCCGCCCG
rnacentral:rRNA from 1 species